rnacentral:rRNA from 1 species
GAUGAACGCUGGCGGCGUGCCUAAUACAUGCAAGUCGAGCGAACAGAUGAGUAGCUUGCUCCUCUGAUGUUAGCGGCGUACGGGUGAGUAACACGUGGAUAACCUACCUAUAAGACUGGGAUAACUUCGUGAAACCGGAGCUAAUACCGGAUACUAUCUUGAACCGCAUGGUUCAAUAGUGAAAGACGGUUUUGCUGUCACUUAUAGAUGUAUCCGCGCCGCAUUAGCUAGUUGGUAAGGUAACGGCUUACCAAGGCGACGAUGCGUAGCCGACCUGAGAGGGUGAACGGCCACACUGGAACUGAGACACGGUACAGACUCCUACGGGAGGCAGAAGUAGGGAAGCGUCCGAAAUGGGCGAAAGACUGACGGAGCAACGCCGCGUGAGUGAUGAAGGUCUGCGGAUCGUAAAACUCUGUUAUUAGGGAAGAACAAAUGUGUAAGUAACUAUGCACGUCUUGACGGUACCUAAUCAGAAAGCCACGGCUAACUACGUG